UACGUAGGGUGCAAGCGUUAAUCGGAAUACUGGGCGUAAAGCGUGCGCAGGCGGUUUUGUAAGUCUGUCGUGAAAUCCCCGGGCUCAACCUGGGAAUUGCGAUGGAGACUGCAAGGCUAGAAUCUGGCAGAGGGGGGUAGAAUUCCACGUGUAGCAGUGAAAUGCGUAGAGAGUGUGGAGGAAUACCGAUGGCGAAGGCAGCCCCCUGGG
rnacentral:rRNA from 1 species